CAGGUUAGUAAGAGAUUUGAAGAAGACGAGAGAUUCCUUAAUGUUGAGAUGAGAGACCAAUUUCAGUUCUAGCUAUAGGGAUUGUCAAACUUGUAUUCAAGUCUAAUAUCGUUAUACUCAAUGAAUGUCACUUCUGUCCGAGUUUUUUAUUGAAUAUAAUUUCUAUAGGCCUUUUAGCCAAAAAUAGUUAUGAAAUAUCAAUAAAAAAAAUUA
rnacentral:lncRNA from 1 species